UAUUUCUGGCUGAUGCUUCAUUGGGUGCACCUUUUGUUUCUCUUCCAAUCAAGAAGAUUCUUCUUUUCAAUAUUUGCAUGGACACAGCUAGCAAAAAUUUGAUAGGUAGCAAAAUAAACACAUACACAUAUAUUGAUAUCCGGUGGAGCAGAAGUUCACCUAUUAAUGUCGAGAAGUUUACUUAUACGGCAUAGGCAGUGCAGUUCCGUGACAUGCGGCAGUAGAGGUUCAUGAAAGUUCACUAGUUAAGCUACAUCGGUGCAUUAUUUGUGAAGUUCACUUCUAUUAAUUCGCGAAGUUCACAUCUACUGCUAGUUUCCUUUUAUAUAUUCUUGCUAGAGAAUAUUCCUGCUACAUGGUCAUCUAGAAAACACUUCUUACAGAUUGUGUGUAUUUAAAAAUGUUCAUUUGAGAUAAAAUAUAGUUAAAGCCUUUAACUCUACUACAGUUCAUCAUCUGCUAUGAUACACCAUGGACUUAUUCUUUAGGGAUAAAUUUUGAGGAUGACCACAGCACGCCGCCUCGCCCUUCAACGCAGAUAGCUGAUGGCAGCAGCGCCUCCCCUUUACGGAUUUUCGCGCUCGCGAGCAUAGCUUUCCGCUUCUUCUUCGCUAAACUUCAGAACCAAGCCAAGGAGGGCAGGUUUCCAAAUAAAAAUGCGUUUUCAGCAUGUCGAGGAAGCUUGAGUCAUCUGUCACAGAGGUUAAAUUUCUAUUUCUGGGGAGUCCGCUCUUGGUUUCAAGUGCAUUAUUUUGCAUCUGGGAAGUGCAGAUGGUUGAAUUUGAGAUGUUUGUUCAAUAUUUAUGAUAUUGUGUUUGAACCGCCUGACUCUGCAUUUUUCUGGCUUAGUGCACUAGAGUACUACUUCAUCUAGUCCAGCCACUACUAGUGAACUCCUAUUUGGACAUGGAGAGAACCAAGAGUAGUUAACAUUGAAGUUCACUUGGUUCGCACGGGAAAUUCACUUUGAAAGUUUAUUUCAUCCAUGAUUACUGAUUGGUGUGCAUCUUCAAAAGGAACUUACUCUCAUUGUGAAGAUUAUUUAGAAUUUGCACUAGUUUAUGAGCUUAUGGAGGUGAAUGAAGAUUCUGGACAACUUUCUUCAAGGAAACUUUGCGUUGUAGUUGGAGAAGUCGUGAUGCCGUGGUCAGCAUCCGAGGAGUUGGCGACCUCCGAAUCCCGCUGCUGCCCCAGAUCGCUUAACUCAGUUGGUCUUGGGUUUUGGCUAGUUGAAUACAUGCUUGUCCAGGCCAUCGGGAACACACAGUUGGUACUACGGGUUUAUGAUGUUCUCAUAAAUGCCAUAUGUUUGUUGAAAACGCUCCUGUUCGCAUAGAUACAUGUAUGUGCGGCAAUGAGGAUGUAUGCGCUUAGCUAUGUGAUCUGGACAGUCCACUUUUGUGUAGCUCGGCAUUUCAGUUGUAUGUAUAUAAGUAGCUCACCACAGUUCACCUUCUUUUUUCUUUUGAGAAAAUGACUGUUAACUUCUGUCUAUAAAGUU